AGUGGAGUCCCCUAACUUGGUCUGGUGUAAUAAAUUCAUCAACUGGUCAUAAUCUUGUCUGCUCAACCCUGGUAUCACAGAGCUGUGGCCAUCUAUUCUUGCAAUAGAUUGAUGGCUAUCAGGAGGAUUCCCUUGAGGAACAGACAAAAGUCCAUUAGAAAGAGGAGAAUCAAGACCAGUACUUAGAUGAGCAGCAGCAGGUCUCCCUUCCUUGUUAAAGUGGUACUUUGUGGAUACCCAUGGAUCUUGAAGCACUUAUCAAUUAAGUGUCCAAAUGUUUUACAGUAUCUACAGAAUUGAGGUCC
rnacentral:lncRNA from 1 species